rnacentral:tRNA from 1 species
GCCUGGAUAACUCAGACGGUAGAGCAUCAGACAUUUAAUCUGAGGGUCCAGGGUUCAAGUCCCUGUUCAGGCG